rnacentral:tRNA from 1 species
UGGGCUGUAGCUCAGUGGCAGAGCACUUGCCUCGCAUGCAUGAGACACUGGGUUCAAUCCUCAGCAUCACAU